ACUCAAAUGAAUUGACGGGGGCCCGCACAAGCGGAGGAACAUGUGGUUUAAUUCGAUGAUACGCGAGGAACCUUACCCGGGUUAGAACGCAGGUGGAAUAUGUGGGAAACUGCAUAGCCGCAAGGCCGCCUGCGAGGUGCUGCAUGGUUGUCGUCAGCUCGUGCCGUGAGGUGUCGGCUUAAGUGCCAUAACGAGCGCAACCCUUAUUGUUAGUUGCCAGCGGGUAAUGCCGGGGACUCUGACAAAACUGCCUGCGUAAGCUGUGAGGAAGGUGGGGAUGACGUCAAAUCAGCACGGCCCUUACGUCCGGGGCGACACACGUGUUACAAUGGAGGGUACAGAAGGUCGCUACCACGCGAGUGGAUGCUAAUCUUAAAAACCCUUCUCAGUUCGGAUCGAAGUCUGCAACUCGACUUCGUGAAGCUGGAUUCGCUAGUAAUCGCGCAUCAGCCAUGGCGCGGUGAAUACGUUCCCGGGCCUUGUACACACCGCCCGU
rnacentral:rRNA from 1 species